UUGUCUCAAGUCCUCUUCUCCUCAUACAUUGUCUCUCCGUGUUUCGUUCUCUUUGAAGAGAAAUGGGUAUUUUGAGCUUCAACAUCCAGCUCACGUUUUGGGUCCAAUUCGAGGAAGCUCGCGAUUUCUAGGGUUUUAUAACAUCUUCGGGAAGUCCUCCUCGCAAAAGGUAAUCGCGAUUCUUGGGUUUUGGCUCCGAUUCAAGGUCAACUCAAUUAGGGCUUCUCGCCUCGGGCUCAUUUGGGUUCUUCUUUCUCCGAUCUCGUGC